rnacentral:lncRNA from 1 species
ACUUUGUGGCCGUGAGCACCAGCUCCGCCUAUCCCCUCUGCAGGGCAGAAGGGACAGUGCUGCGGGAGGCGGAGGUGCUGUGGCUCUGGGAAGGCUGAAAAGGGACGGCUGCAAAGGAGAAGAGCUUCGAGUCCUUUCCAUCAGGAGAAAAACCCGGUCAGCUGUGGAGGAGCACUGCACAGGAGUCAGAAAGUGGAGUCUGGGCGUGACCUUGCACCUGACCAGCCUGGGGCUCUAGGUCCGCCACAUCUGGACUAAUCUCCUGUGUCCUGAGCUCCCAGGACCCCAGAGGCAAGCAUGGAGGGGCCACGCUGGCAGGUAAAGUUGAACCCACAGUGGCUUAGGACGAGCUCCUGCACAGCGGCCUGUUUCCCAAUUGCAUCGUGUAUCUCUUUGCCUCUCUUGGCUCAGCCAUGGCCCCAGCCCCAGGCCAUCCAAGGGGCAGCCUGGUGAGGUUUCUUCAACUUUGCUAAUGACUUGACCUACAGUCUUAAGUCAAGAAGGUGUCGCUCUCCUUUGUGAUGGCUGGACGCACAGGAGCUGUGGUCAGGAUGGGGCUAGAGGAGCUGAAAUCCCAGGGCAACAAGGGUAUUUAAAAACACAUCGCAGGAGAAACAGCUAAAGAGUCUUGGAACCAGGAAUCAUAAGCUGUUUGAUGGGAUGAACUAUCUUGGGAGUGAUGAGGUCCCCAUCACUGAAAGUAUUCAAGCAGAGAGAGUCAUGGAAUUAGGAGACGGAAGAGCAUCAGACACUGAAUGAAGUCUGCACUACAUGAGAUGAAGAACCCUUCCAGCCCUGAGGCCGAGCAGCCACUUCUCUGGAGCAGGCUGGCCCAUCUAUGUCCAGGAGGCCAGCCCCAGGCUAGCUUCUGAGCACGGGGAGCUAAGUCCUUCGCCUUCCAGAGACUGCACAAAGUGUGUGCCACCUCCACAGAACCCUCCUCAUCCACCCGAGAACUCUUCCUCACCUGACCUAAAGCUCUUCAUUUCAUACCACCUUUCAAGCGAAUUAAGGAUUAAUUGCCAGCAGCAAUCUCUGUCUUUGUUUGUUUUCUCUAAUGGAAAACCUUUCUCUCGGGAGGGUAAGGUUAUCAGUCAUUCACAGCUCAGUUGUGCUGUGUUUGAUUAGACUGGACGGCAAAGCUGAGUCCUGUUUCGGCUCUGUGCGAUCCUGGGCCCCUUGGAGCCUGUUUUCUCAUCUAUGAAAUGGGAGUAAUAAUAGUGCUUAUUGCACAGUUGUUUUAAGAACUAAAAAUUUAAAUUGCCUAGAAUGUUAUACAAACAUAAGCUGCCAUAUUUUGGAAAAAUGAGCCAAGAUCAGUGGUGCCAAGGGAAGAAUGGGCAGAGGUGAGCUGUGGGCAGCCGUGGAGGAUGGUCCACGGUGUGGCUGCCAGAGGGCAUCGGGGGCCAGGCAACUCCAGAAAGGAGCUAGGAAUGUUAGAGAAAACUGCACUAACAGCCAGCAUGCGUGAAGAACUGAUUCAUACUACACCGUGGAUGAACCUCAAGAACAUUAUUCUCGGCAAAAGCAGACAGACACAAAAGGUCACAUAGCAAAUGCUUCCGUUGAUAUGAAAUGUCCAGCACUGGCAAAUCCACAGAGACAGAAAGUAGAUUAGUAAUAGCCAGCGGCUGCAGACAGGGAAGGAGGGGAGUGAUGACUUAAUGGGUACAGGGAUUUUAUUUUGGGGUAAUGAAGAUAUUUUGGAAUGAGACAGAGCUGGUGGCUGCAUAGAGCACUAUGAAAGUGCUAAUUGCCAUUGAAUUAUUCACUUCAAAACAGUUAAUUUAACGCUAUGUGAAUUUCACCUCAAUAAAAAAGGUACAAAAUAAAAA